rnacentral:rRNA from 1 species
UGACGGUACCUGACUAAGAAGCUCCGGCUAAAUACGUGCCAGCAGCCGCGGUAAUACGUAUGGAGCAAGCGUUAUCCGGAUUUACUGGGUGUAAAGGGUGUGUAGGCGGCAUGGCAAGUCAGAAGUGAAAGACCGGGGCUCAACCCCGGGGCUGCUUUUGAAACUGUCGUGCUUGAGUCCAGGAGGGGCAAGCGGAAUUCCUAGUGUAGCGGUGAAAUGCGUAGAUAUUAGGAAGAACACCGGUGGCGAAGGCGGCUUGCUGGACUGGGACUGACGCUGAGGCACGAAAGCGUGGGGAGCAAACAGGAUUAUAUACCCUG